AGCGAACGCUGGCGGCAGGCCUAACACAUGCAAGUCGAACGAACCUUUCGGGGUUAGUGGCGGACGGGUGAGUAACACGUGGGAACGUGCCUUUAGGUUCGGAAUGACUCAGGGAAACUUGUGCUAAUACCGAAUGUGCCCUUCGGGGGAAAGAUUAAUCGCCUUUAGAGCGGCCCGCGUCUGAUUAGCUAGUUGGUUGAGGUAAUGGCUCACCAAGGCGACGAUCAGUAGCUGGUCUGAGAGGAUGAUCAGCCACAUUGGGACUGAGACACGGCCGAAACUCCUACGGGAGGCAGCAGUGGGGAAUCGUGCGCAAUGGGCGAAAGCAUGACGCAGCCAUGCCGCGUGAAUGAUGAAGGUCGUAGGAUUGUAAAAUUCUUUCACCGGGGACGAUAAUGACGGUACCCGGAGAAGAAGCCCCGGCUAACUUCGUG
rnacentral:rRNA from 1 species